rnacentral:rRNA from 1 species
GAUGAACGCUAGCGGCAGGCUUAAUACAUGCAAGUCGAGGGGCAGCAUGAUUGUAGCAAUACAAUUGAUGGCGACCGGCAAACGGGUGCGGAACACGUACACAACCUUCCAACAAGUGGGGGAUAGCCCAGAGAAAUUUGGAUUAAUACCCCGUAACAUAGCGAUGUGGCAUCACAUUGCUAUUAUAGAUUUUUCGCUUGUUGAUGGGUGUGCGGCUGAUUAGAUAGUUGGCGGGGUAACGGCCCACCAAGUCUACGAUCAGUAGCUGAUGUGAGAGCAGGAUCAGCCACACGGGCACUGAGACACGGGCCCGGCUCCUACGGGAGGCAGCAGUAAGGAAUAUUGGACAAUGGACGCAAGUCUGAUCCAGCCAUGCCGCGUGAAGGAUUAAGGUCCUCUGGAUUGUAAACUUCUUUUAUAAGGGACGAAAAAAGGCUUUUCUAAGUCGUCUGACGGUACCUUAUGAAUAAGCACCGGCUAACUACGUGCCAGCCGCCGCGGUAAUAC